GGAGGGUACAGCUCAAUGGUAGAGCGUGUGCUUAGUGUGCAUGAAGUCCUGGGUUCAAUCCCCAGGACCUCCA
rnacentral:tRNA from 1 species